GGUAAGAUGGCUGAAUAAGCGGCGGGUUGUAACCCCGUACAUAGAGGUUUCAGUCCUCUUUUUACCA
rnacentral:tRNA from 1 species